AGUUACAAUUGGAACAUAUUUUGUAUCAGUAGACAUUUCAUUUACCCUUGAACUAGAAACAUAAACUACUGUUUGAUGUGAGGAAAUAAAGAAUUCAAGAAUGAGGCAAAUACUUGAUAUGCUUCACUUCAACUUUGAAUCAGUUUUAUAUGAGAACUGAGAAGUGCCCACCCGCUGAGCUCCUAAAGAGCCUACUUUGCAACUCAAUCUAACUGAACCAAGCAACAGAACCCAGGAACUCAGUAACCAGUCGCUGCUAUCAGGUAUAGUUGUCACUGGAACAAGAGUCCUGAAUAUGGAAAGAAUGACCGAGGGACACUGUCUUGGUGGGACUCCACAGAAAACGUAAGAUAGUAUUCGGCAUGAAUGCUUCAGGAUCAUGCUUGCUGCCAAGAGUGAUUGGUGUGACAUGCUGUCACAAAGGGAUAAUUCUGACAUGUGAGCUUGUUGAGUGCCCUGACAAUGGUGACAGGAAAGCUGUAUUGGGUAGGUUACUUCCAUACAGUCUCACCUUCAGCAAAGCUCAGAUAUGGCAGUUAUUCAUCACUCUGUAGAGAUGCAUUGAGUGCUUAUUGUGGCUUUGGUCUGAAUGAAAAAAAGAUGUGCUAUGAGGUACAGCAGCCAAAGAUGGACCAAUGAUGAUUCUAUUGACUCUUAUCAAACUUAGACAGAGGCAUGUGCCAAAAGGAUAUGUUUGUUCAUUAUAAACACUAAAAGGCUAUGCUUGUGCAAAUAAACACAAAUAAGCUGCAUGUGUUCUCCUGGAUGGGUCAGAAGGAGUCUAGACAUUCAGACCCAAGGCAGGCAGAGCCACCAGCCACCAUAAUUCCCAAACAGGGCCAUGGAGGAUAAGUAAAUUUUAUGCAUCAGCCCAGCUAAUUUUUAAUAAAUAAAAAGGGAGGAACUGUAACACCCCCUCUCCCCAGUCUUAAGCUGGCUGAACAAGUCUAUGACACUGGAGCCAGGCAUCUGGCUCUGCUACAUGUACAUCUUCCUGUCAGAGGACUGACUGACAACUGCCUGCCCACUGAGCUGCUGAAGAGCCUACUUUGCAACUCAAUCCAGCUGAAACAAACAACAGAAAUUCACCCAAAACAAAGGGAUGGGUCUUUGGGUUUUCCCAUAUUUAUUCAGUGACAUACAUUAAAGAUUGAGCCUUGAUUAGA
rnacentral:lncRNA from 1 species